AGCGGUAGUGGCGGCGGCGGCGGCGGCUCGGCAGGCGGGUUCAGGCUUCGGGGGCCAGAAACAAACCGGAAGCAGUAGAAGUAACAUUUGCAGAUUUCGAUGGGGUCCUCUAUCAUAUUUCAAAUCCUAAUGGAGACAAAACAAAAGUGAUGGUCAGUAUUUCUUUGAAAUUCUACAAGGAACUUCAGGCACAUGGUGCUGAUGAGUUAUUAAAGAGGGUGUACGGGAGUUUCUUGGUAAAUCCAGAAUCAGUCUUCUAAUAGGUUGUCUCAACAUUCAUGGCCAGAGGAAUUGAAAGGCACCGUGUCAUCCUUGAAUAGAACAGCUAUGUUAUACUUCUUUAAAGGAGGUUUAAAGUGGAAAAACUGAACAGCCUUUUUACCCUGUGAUUCAGUGGCAUGUCUCAAAUUCUGAGGCAUUUAGCAGGACCCCAAAGUGAGAACCAGGAUACAAUGUCUCUUUGCUAUAUGACCUUGAAAAUCUUCCGGCAUCCAAGGAUUCCAUUG
rnacentral:sRNA from 1 species